GACGAACGCUGGCGGCGUGCUUAACACAUGCAAGUCGAACGGUGAAGGGGCCUGCUUUUGUGGGCCCUGGAUGAGUGGCGAACGGGUGAGUAACACGUGAGUAACCUGCCCCCUUCUUCUGGAUAACCGCAUGAAAGUGUGGCUAAUACGGGAUAUUCUGGGUCUGUCGCAUGAUGGGUCUGGGAAAGAUUGCGCCUUUGGGUGUUUUUGGUGGGGGAUGGGCUCGCGGCCUAUCAGCUUGUUGGUGGGGUGAUGGCCUACCAAGGCGGUGACGGGUAGCCGGCCUGAGGGGGUGGACGGUCACACUGGGACUGAGACACGGCCCAGACUCCUACGGGAGGCAGCAGUGGGGAAUAUUGCACAAUGGGCGCAAGCCUGAUGCAGCGACGCCGCGUGAGGGAUGGAGGCCUUCGGGUUGUAAACCUCUUUCGCCAGUGAAGCAGGCCUGCUCCUUGUGGGUGGGUUGACGGUAGCUGGAUAAGAAGCGCCGGCUAACUACGUG
rnacentral:rRNA from 1 species